UUUCCGUCCUUCUGUUAUGUGUCUUACCCUAAUACAUGUAGGAUUGUGAUCUUUAUAUUCUCUCCUACAAGUUACAACAAUAUCUAUAAUAGUGUGUUAUUGUUAUAGUCUCUGACAGAAGAGAUCUGAUUGCAAAGAUCUCAAAUCUCAAGUCAAUUUGAUUUUCUAUUAGGCUAUUCCUGGGAAAACGUUGGACUACGCCGUAGUCCCGUACGCCACAAGUGGGCUGAACCACGUGUCGACUAUUCAUCGGCAGAGGGGAAAUCCACAGGGCAUAGAUGGGAUUUCUCAGAUGUCGAUCCUUCCCCUCGUCAUCGUCGCCGUCUGGUUUAGAGAGGGGCUUUUAUGGAAUCGCCGGUGAGGUGAGAAGCGGGGGGUAGGGUAAAUAUGACGCUGGCGGGAGAUAUGCCACGUCUCCGCCACCUACAGGGCGAAUUACCGGCAAGCACAGAGCACCCACGUCUUUGCCGUCGAGAGGGUGAAUUAGCGGCAAAGCGUCUUGCACAAUUAGGCGGAGAUGAUCAAAACGUUUCAAAUCGAUUUCACUGAAGAACGGGUUUGAAGGUGGAGUACAUUGUGUGGAUUUGAAAGGGUUUGUGCACAUUUUCCGAUCGAUUUCACUGAAGAACAGGCUAGGUUUGAAGGUGGAGUACAUCGUGUGGAUUUGAACGGGUUUGUGCACGUUUUCGGAUACGAAUGCGGCAUUUUUGCUCAGGGGUUGAAAUCGAUGAAUUUAUGAAUGGGUUGAGGCUAGAAACCGCAUGCAAACCAGAUUCUGUGCAUUCCCUACUGAGGUAAGAGUUUAAAUUCAUGACUUGCAGCAUUGUGUCUCCUGCUUUCCUUUCAUGUUUUUGAGAUUUGCUUAACAGCCGUAUUCGAAUUCAUUAGUGAGGAACACAUGUUUGCUGAGCCUGUUUUGAUUUCAUAUCGUUCGUAUCUGUCUGGUUUAAUUGAACAUCGGUGCACCUGUCAGUUACGUUAAUGUUUAGUUCAGAGAGAAUCGAACCCAAAGUAUUUGAUAUCAGCUGUGAUGUUCACUCCUUGAUCUAGACUCGUAGAUGUAAAUCCAUUAACAUCUUUGAAAUAACAAGCUGCCUAUCCAGAUGUUAAUCCCACAAAGUUUGCUGAGAUAACAAGAUCUCAGUUCAUCCAUUUCCAUUGGUAGCUACAUUGCAAUAGUUCUAGUUUUAAUCAUGGGCAACAAUCAGAAAAGAUUUAGGUAUGUGUUUGUGUAACUAUAGUUGGGUUUGUGUUUGUCAAACAUUUUCAUAGGGAUGUGGCUGUUUAAAAGUACAUUCCAUCUGCACCAUGUACUUACGAUUGGAAUUGCAUCUUCAAGUAUGGGUAGCUAACAAAAAAAAGCAAUACAGAGAACCAUAUAGUUUAUAUCUUUAUAAUUAGAAUCAUACUCGAAUCGGCAUGAUUGUCUGGUAUAGGGCUUCUAUCAAAAACAGUGCACACUAGUUAUAGGCCAUGUUGUUCAUCCUACGAAAUUCAAGUAGUUUUAAGCCCUUUAUUCAUCCAUCAAAAUUUUGGUAAUUUGAUUCUUAUUGCAGUGUCUGAAUAUAUAUUCAAAACUAGCUCUUAACUUCAUAAGUAUCACUGCUAUUUUUCGUUUUUCCAACUAAUAGAAAAGGUCGAAGUGAAAGUUGACUCUGCUAACAGAGUUGUGCGGUGUCAUUUAGUUUAGCAUAGGCAUAUGUGGUUUAAGUAAACUGCAAUUGGAAUAUGAAGAGCUGUGUAACGUGUGAUGUGCACUGGAAUCUAUUUAGUACUGGUAGGCUAGUGAAUGUGUAAAAUUAAUUCGUCGUUACAUGAAUGAUAAUCCCUCCCUCCCUCCCUCAGUGUUGCAAUGUGUCCUAUGCCAUAAUAGAAUUGCAUAUUACAAGAAUGGUAAUAUGCAUUCUGCUUCUUUCUGUCUUCUGGUUUGACAUAUGCGUAUUCUGCCUUGAUCCUUCAAUUAUCAACUGCGCAUAUAUAUAAUUGUCCCGCAAGAUGGAAUCGAAAGCAGUCAUAUAUGCAUCCAAGGAUUCAAUUGCAGUAAUGUCAUUUUUAAUCUAUCGUCAGGUUAUGUCUUAAGGCGAAGGCAUCUUGGCUUGAAGGUUAGUAUUAUCUCUAGAUUUUUUAACCUUGUUGGAGUGUGUUAAUUCUGUUAUGAAGGGGUUGAAUUAUAUAUGUUCAAAUUACCUUUUCAACUUAAGAUUUAGGAGGAUGUUUGCAUUAGUCUUUGAUUGUUGUGUUGGUCGAGUUUUGUUUAUGCCCCAUUCUCUCUCUCUCUCUCN
rnacentral:lncRNA from 1 species